CUUGGAGAUCCUCUGGGAUGAGAGGCGCUAUAUAACUGAUAAUGGUCCUGGUGGAAGAGAGUAUGAGGAAAUAAAUGACUUGGUGGGUGAUUAAUUGUCCUGGCGCAGCACAGAGUCCAGUACCAGGAUCAUUAUUUCUAUUGUAUGACAAGAAAGAAAGAAGGAGCAGUGAAGCCGUGUGCAUAAAUAACAGGGGAAGGAUUUCCUCGCUGCUCAGGAAAAUUCUGCUCUCCCAUUCUUUUCAGAACUGAAGGGGCCUAUUCCACAGUCUGAACUUUCAUCUCUUCCCUGAGCCUUCAGACGUGAUCUCUGCUAAUUGCUCUAGUCGGGAGCUAGGGAAGUUCUGGCGAGGGCUCCCAUCCCGUUCACCCCAAGCAGCACGGCACUGCAAUUUGGCCCUUUCUGGAGCUCGCCCAUACAGACGGUCUCUUAGGAGGCAGCUCUGGGCUCUGAGAAUAAGAGGCAGUAGGGAAGCUGAUAAAUUUGGAUUGAAUGAACGCUAUGCGCAAAGACAGUACAAUAGGAGGAAAGCUCCGGACACAUAAGGGUAGCAGCUUCUGGCAUCUUAGUUAAUGAAACGGAGCAUUUAAUCCAGUUGUUCAAACCCCACUACAUGUUAGAAACACUCUACUUAGGAGCCUUUAAAAAAAAAAAAAAACACCAAUGCCGGGUCUCACCCUUGACCCAUGAAAGCAGAAGUUCCAGGAGGGAAGUCUGGCAUCUAACCUUCAUACAGCGCUGAUUUAAUGGAAAUGGGAUUCCUAAGCCUUGGACGUAACUCUUCGGGAGCCGUGGGGCAUUGAUUUCAUUAGGGAGUCCCUCAUUAGCCUAAAGAGAACAUCAGGGAAGAACAACAUACAAGCUGCUGAACGUUCCAGCUCCAACAUUACUGCUUCCAAUUGGGGAAAAUAAAUCACUGCAGAAGGACAGCGCUUCAUUUUAACUAGUCUGGGUUUUAAUAGCCCAUCAGCUCCGCUUUAAAUGCUUUUUGAUAGCACUGCGCAUUUGACCUUAAGCAGAGCACUUGGAUUCAACCUUGACAUUUACCAUAAUUAAACAAAGAGGAUUUUUCUCAUUAAAUAUUAUUUUUGUUUCUUGGACCAUGAACUGAAUUGUGAAUGAGAUUCCAUUUCAGUCGAUGGCAUGGCAUGACCCCCCAUUCUCCACAGCCGUUAGCAGCUACAAGCCCCAGUGUGCCCUCAGCUGCGGCAUGAGGGAGCCUGGCAUUUCCUGUGGGCUCUCUUUUUAGCUACUGACAAAUGUCACAGAGGCCAGCAUCAUCCACAGGGAGAAUGGGUAGGGUGCCAGGGGGAGGCAGACAGCCCCACACCAAUUCUCAUAGAUAUGAUGUUUAACUCCCUGGAAUCCUGACCCACUAGACGGGGAAGGUCACUUUUGGCACUAUCUGCCAAGUUCGUGUUGAAACCCUCUGUUCCUUCCUCAUCCACAGCAGGGAGACUCUGGCACUUUUUUAUUUUGUCAAGUAUUACCUCAAUUCCCUGCCAUGACUGACUGGACCAGAAGUGGGUAGCACACCCAAGUUGGUUUCAUCCAAGUUCCUCCAGGAAUUGGAAAUGGAAUCAAGAAAAAGAGAGUAUGAUUUGGGUUGGAUAACUGGACUUGUAUGAUGGAUACGUUGCAGCUGCCACAGGGGUCAAGAGGCAGAGGAAGCAAGGCUUCAGGGAAUAAGAAUGGAACAGAGGAGAUCGGAAGCAAGAGACCCAGGAAGAGUCCAGCUUGUGUUCUCGUCCUAGACAUUUCUCCCAAGCCUCCAUUUUGUUCCUGUUGUUGGUUUCAAAAGAAAUUCCUGUGUCUUUAUAAUAAAGCGGGUGGAGAAACGUC